CCUACGGGUGGCAGCAGUGGGGAAUAUUGCGCAAUGGGCGAAAGCCUGACGCAGCGACGCCGCGUGAGGGAUGACGGUCUUCGGAUCGUAAACCUCUGUUCGCAGGGAAGAACGGUCACUGUGCUAAUCAGCAGUGAAUUGACGGUACCUGCAAAGGAAGCACCGGCUAACUCCGUGCCAGCAGCCGCGGUAAUAAGGAGGGUGCGAGCGUUAAUCGGAAUUACUUGGCUUAAAGCGCGCGUAGGCGGUAUGACAAGUCAAGGGUGAAAUCCCAGCGCUCAACGUGGUAACUGCCUUUGAAACUGGCAAACUGGAGUGUGUGAGAGGAAAGUGGAAUUCAAGGUGUAGGAGGGAAAUCCGUAGAUAUC
rnacentral:rRNA from 1 species